GCCACUAGUAGUGAUUAGCCAUUUAACUAACCAUUUUGUCCUAAUCACUCGUGCACUAAUACCUACGUCAAAAGAAUCGAAUUAAUCCUGAUAACUGGAUGAGCAGUUACACAAAUAAAAGUUUUUCUUUUUGGACGGAGGAAAUAAAUAUUUGAUAUUUAGAGUAAGUUUGAAUCGAAUUUCUAAAAAAAAUAUACUGAUAGGUUAAUGAUAUUAUGACAAUACUUAGUUUGAUAAAAAUAUUUAUUGUUUAGUAUAAAAUUUGAUUAAAAUUUUUAAAUUUCAAUAAUCGAUAAUUUCUUAAAUACUUAGUUUGAAGACAAUGGAUACACAUACAUUUUCCCAAAAAAUAGUAUCAUAAUAUCAUAAACAUAUUGGAUUUUAUAAAUUUAUUAUAACACGAAACUAAUCGUCGG
rnacentral:lncRNA from 1 species